ensembl:misc_RNA 7SK 7SK RNA
GGAUGUGAGGGCGAUCUGGCUGCAACAUCUGUCACCCCCUUGAUUGCCAGGGUUGAUUCGGCUGAUCUGGCUGGCUAUAGGCAGAUUUCCCCUUCCUCCCUCACCAUUCCAUGUGUGUCCCUCCUGAAGGUGCAUGCUCGGUCGAAGAGGAUGACCUUCCCUGAUAAAGGAGGACUGUUCUUCGGUCAAGGGUAUACAAGUAGCUGCGCUCCCCUGCUAGAAACUCCAAACGAGCUCUCAAGGUCCAUUUGUAGGAGAACGUAGGGUAGUCAAGCUUCCAAGACUCCAGACACGUCCAAAUGAGGUGCUGCAUGUGGCAGUCUGCCUUUCUUU